rnacentral:rRNA from 1 species
UUCCGCUUGAUCUGCCGGACCCGACUGCUAUCAGAGUGGGACUAAGCCAUGCGAGUCAACGCAGCAAUGCGUGGCAUACGGCUCAGUAACACGUAGUCAACAUGCCCAGGGGACGUGGAUAACCUCGGGAAACUGAGGAUAAACCGCGAUAGGCCAAGAUUUCUGGAAUGGAUCAUGGCUGAAAUCUAUAUGGCCCCUGGAUUGGACUGCGGCCGAUCAGGCUGUUGGUGAGGUAAUGGCCCACCAAACCUGUAACCGGUACGGGCUUUGAGAGAAGGAGCCCGGAGAUGGGCACUGAGACAAGGGCCCAGGCCCUAUGGGGCGCAGCAGGCGCGAAACCUCUGCAAUAGGCGAAAGCCUGACAGGGUUACUCUGAGUGAUGCCCGCUAAGGGUAUCUUUUGGCACCUCUAAAAAUGGUGCAGAAUAAGGGGUGGGCAAGUCUGGUGUCAGCCGCCGCGGUAAUACCAGCACCCCGAGUGGUCGGGACGAUUAUUGGGCCUAAAGCAUCCGUAGCUUGUCCUGCAAGUCUUCCGUUAAAUCCACCUGCUCAACAGAUGGGCUGCGGGAGAUACUACAGGGCUAGGAGGCGGGAGAGGCAAACGGUACUCAGUGGGUAGGGGUAAAAUCCUCUGAUCCACUGAAGACCACCAGUGGCGAAGGCGGUUUGCCAGAACGCGCUCGACGGUGAGGGAUGAAAGCUGGGGGAGCAAACCGGAUUAGAUACCCGGGUAGUCCCAGCUGUAAACGAUGCAGACUCGGUGAUGGGUUGGCUUCGGGCCAACCCAGUGCCGCAGGGAAGCCGUUAAGUCUGCCGCCUGGGGAGUACGGUCGCAAGACUGAAACUUAAAGGAAUUGGCGGGGGAGCACCACAAGGGGUGAAGCCUGCGGUUCAAUUGGAUUCAACGCCG